AUUGAACGCUGGCGGAAUGCUUUACACAUGCAAGUCGAACGGUAGAGGGGGCAACCCCUUGAGAGUGGCGAACGGGUGAGUAAUAUAUCGGAGCGUGCCCAGUCGUGGGGGAUAACGUAGCGAAAGUUACGCUAAUACCGCAUACGAGCUAAGGAUGAAAGCGGGGGAUCGCAAGACCUCGCGCGAUUGGAGCGGCCGAUAUCAGAUUAGGUAGUUGGUGGGGUAAAGGCUCACCAAGCCAACGAUCUGUAGCUGGUCUGGGAGGACGACCAGCCACACGGGAACUGAGACACGGUCCAGACUCCUACGGGAGGCAGCAGUGGGGAAUUUUGGACAAUGGACGCAAGUCUGAUCCAGCCAUUCCGCGUGCAGGAUGAAGGCCCUCGGGUUGUAAACUGCUUUUGUACGGAACGAAAAGGUCUCUCUUAAUACGGGGGACUCAUGACGGUACCGUAAGAAUAAGCACCGGCUAACUACGUGCCAGCCGCCGCCGUAAGAC
rnacentral:rRNA from 1 species